ensembl:lncRNA
GUGUGUGUGUGUGUGAGAGAGCGAUGGGGAGUGGGAGGGGGAGCACAGUGUGUAAGAAGUGUGUGACAAAGAGAGCGAGUGUGUGUGUGUGUGUGUGUGUGUGUGUGUGUGUGUGUCCAUGUAGUAUUGAGUGAGUGAGUGUGUGUGGUUGGUGAGUUUGUGUGGUUGAGAGAAUGAGUAAGUGUGUGUGUUUGUGUGUGUGUGCGUGUGUUGGGAAGACAGGGUGUGUUUGAGAGAAGGGAAAAUGUGUUUUCUACAGUGUGUGUCUGCACUUGUAUGUGUGUGAAAGAGAAACUAAUAAUGUGCAUGUGGAAAAAGAGAACGGGGAAUAAAGGUGUUUGCUGUAAGAGAGAGAGAGAGAGAGAGAGGUACUGUGAAGGACGUGUGUGUGUACGUGAGAAGGAGCAUAUAAAAAGUGUGUGUGUGUGUGUGUGUGUGUGUGUGUGUGUGUGGGAGAGUGUGUUUGCGCAUACGUGUGUGUUAGAGUGGGGGAGGGAAUGUGUUUGUUUGUGUGUGUGUGUGUGUGUCUGUCUGUGUGCAUGCGUGUGCACGCAAAGGAGAGAGAGAAACCGUGUUUAUGUGUAACCAAGUAGUGUGGUGGUUCAGUGUGUGUUAAAGGGGAUGGUAAUCAAAUGUGUGAUGGGUAAAGAGAGAGAGAUUGUGUGGGAUUUGGUUGUGUUAAUUAAUUAUAUCUAUACGUGUGUGUGUGUGUGUGUAUACAUGUGUAUGUCAGUGCGUGUAUUUAAGUCAUAAAAUGACAUGUCUGGCGUGACGGAGAUGAUGCUGUAGAAACAAUGCAGAAAGUGGUGAGGGAAGGGUGCGUGUCUGUCUUUAAGAAACUGAGAGACGUGUGUGUGUGUGUGUGUGUGAGGGGGGGGGGUUGUGACGAACACAGUAGGGGAGGUUGUGUGUGUGUGUGUGUGUGUGUGUGUGUGUGAAAGAGAAGAGGAUGGAGGGUGUGUACUGCAGAGAGAUAGAAAAAGAGCACAGAGUGUGUAUGUGUUUAAGAACGGGUGAGAGAAGAGAAGGGAGUGUGUGACGGAGGGUGAGGAUGAACAGACACAAGGUUUGUGUGCGUGUAUAUCUGUGUGUAUGUGUGUGGCUUCUAGACAAGGGCAGUGUGUUUGUCAUACAGAGGGAAGGAGAGAGUGUUUACGCAUCUACUUUGUUUAUGAAAGAGGAAAGGACAGUGUGUGUGUGUGUGUGUGUGUGUGUGUGUGCGUGCAACUGCUCAAAGCAAAAGCAUGUUUGUGCGUAUGUGCACAUUGUGUGUGGGUGGUACGAUAUAUGUGAGACGUGGAGGGGGGGGGGCUCUGUGUGUCUGUAUCUGUUUUAUUAUUGAG